rnacentral:rRNA from 1 species
CGUAGGGACCAAGCGUUGUUCGGAUUUACUGGGCGUAAAGGGCGCGUAGGCGGCGUGUUAAGUCAGCUGUGAAAUCUCCAAGCUUAACUUGGAACGGUCAGCUGAUACCGAUGUGCUAGAGUGCAGAAGGGGCAACCGGAAUUCUUGGUGUAGCGGUGAAAUGCGUAGAUAUCAAGAGGAACACCUGAGGUGAAGACGGGUUGCUGGGCUGACACUGACGCUGAGGCGCGAAAGCUAGGGGAGCAAACGGGAUUAGAUACCCCGGUAGUCCUAGCCCUAAACGAUGAAUACUUGGUGUCUGGAGUUUUUAUUCUCCGGGUGCCGUCGCUAACGUUUUAAGUAUUCCGCCUGGGGAGUACGCACGCAAGUGUG